ACUAUAUUAGAGAAAUGGUAAUUUAUUAGUCUCCUACUCCAGAUAAUAGAACUAAAGAUUCUUGGUUUAAGUCCGGGAUGUGAUG